rnacentral:rRNA from 1 species
UACAGAGGUCUCAAGCGUUGUUCGGAUUCAUUGGGCGUAAAGGGUGCGUAGGUGGGCAGGUAAGUCCGUGGUGAAAUCCCUGAGCUUAACUCGGGAACUGCCAUGGAUACUAUUUGUCUUGAAUAUUGUGGAGGUAAGCGGAAUAUGUCAUGUAGCGGUGAAAUGCUUAGAUAUGACAUAGAACACCAAUUGCGAAGGCAGCUUACUACACAGUUAUUGACACUGAGGCACGAAAGCGUGGGGAUCAAACAGG